AUUGAACGCUGGCGGCAGGCCUAACACAUGCAAGUCGAGCGGAGGGGCGGACGGGGGCGUAAUGACUAGGUCUAUGACUGGUAGUGUGGGAUAACGUCCGCAAACGGGCGCUAAUACUGCAUACUCUCAGCUGAGCCUAGGUCGGAGUAGCUAGGUGGUGGGGGAAAGGCCAACCAAGGCGACGAUCCGUAACUGGUCUGAGAGGAUGAUCAGUCACACUGGAACUGAGACACGGUCCAGACUCCUACGGGAGGCAGCAGUGGGGAAGAUUGGACAAUGGGCGAAAGCCUGAUGCAGCAGUGCCGCGUGUGUGAAGAAGGUCUUCGGAUUGUAAAGCACUUUCAGUGGGGAGGCGUUACCAACAGAAUAAGCACCGGCUAACUCCGUGCCAGCAGCCGCGGUAAUAC
rnacentral:rRNA from 1 species